rnacentral:rRNA from 1 species
GACAGAGGGUGCAAACGUUGUUCGGAAUUACUGGGCGUAAAGCGCGUGUAGGCGGCUCGGAAAGUCGGGUGUGAAAGCCCUGGGCUCAACCUAGGAAGUGCACUCGAAACUUCCGAGCUGGAGUUCUGGAGGGGAAGGCGGAAUUCUCGGUGUAGAGGUGAAAUUCGUAGAUAUCGAGAGGAACACCGGUGGCGAAGGCGGAUCUCUGGGCCUUACCUGACGCUGAGGAGCGAAAGCUGGGGGAGCGAACAGGAUUAGAUACCCCC